UCCGCGGUAGCUCAACCUGGUAGAGCGUCCGGCUGUUAACCGGAGGGUUGCAGGUUCGAUUCCUGCCCGCGGAGCCA
rnacentral:tRNA from 1 species